rnacentral:rRNA from 1 species
GAUUAGUGGCGAACGGGUGAGUAACACGUGGGCAAUCUGCCCUUCACUCUGGGACAAGCCCUGGAAACGGGGUCUAAUACCGGAUAUGAGCCUGGGAGGCAUCUCCCGGGUUGUAAAGCUCCGGCGGUGAAGGAUGAGCCCGCGGCCUAUCAGCUUGUUGGUGAGGUAAUGGCUCACCAAGGCGACGACGGGUAGCCGGCCUGAGAGGGCGACCGGCCACACUGGGACUGAGACACGGCCCAGACUCCUACGGGAGGCAGCAGUGGGGAAUAUUGCACAAUGGGCGAAAGCCUGAUGCAGCGACGCCGCGUGAGGGAUGACGGCCUUCGGGUUGUAAACCUCUUUCAGCAGGGAAGAAGCGAAAGUGACGGUACCUGCAGAAGAAGCGCCGGCUAACUACGUGCCAGCAGCCGCGGUAAUACGUAGGGCGCAAGCGUUGUCCGGAAUUAUUGGGCGUAAAGAGCUCGUAGGCGGCUUGUCACGUCGGGUGUGAAAGCCCGGGGCUUAACCCCGGGUCUGCAUUCGAUACGGGCUAGCUAGAGUGUGGUAGGGGGAGAUCGGAAUUCCUGGUGUAGCGGUGAAAUGCGCAGAUAUCAGGAGGAACACCGGUGGCGAAGGCGGAUCUCUGGGCCAUUACUGACGCUGAGGAGCGAAAGCGUGGGGAGCGAACAGGAUUAGAUACCCUGGUAGUCCACGCCGUAAACGGUG